UACGGAGGGUGCAAGCAUUAAUCGGAAUUAUUGGGCGUAAAGGGUGCGUAGGUGGCACGUUAAGUCAGUUGUGAAAUCCCCGGGCUCAACCCGGGAACUGCUUCUGAUACUGGCGUGCUUGAGGCCAGUAGGGGUCACUAGAACUGACGGUGGAGCGGUGAAAUGCGUAGAUAUCGUCAGGAAUGCCGGUGGUGAAGACGGGUGACUGGGCUGGUUCUGACACUGAGGCACGAAAGCGUGGGGAGCGAACGGG
rnacentral:rRNA from 1 species